GUGGUGGAAUUGCUUGAUCCUGUGGUAGUUGUAUUUUUAAUUUUUUUAGGAAUCUCCAUAGUGUUUUUUGUAGUGGCUGCACCGAUUUACAUUCCCACCAACAGCGCACAAAGGUUCUAAUUUAUCCACGUU